AGAGAUUCAUCUUUUCCUGUUAAUGGAUGUUGUUAUGUCAAAAUAUUAAUCAUGUUUAAACAGUACAAAGCAUUUUAAUUUUGUUUGUUUUUUUUUUUUGCAUUCAACUUUUAUUUUGUUUUACUUUCAUCAUGUAUGUGUGACUAUAGGAAAUAACUUCCUAACAUUCUUCCCUGAAAAAUCAUCGAAAAACAAAGCCAUGCUUUAUAGGAACUGUCAAAGUUGAAUGCAGAGCGUGUCACCCUGCAUUCCAUUUCGUUACUCCUUCAUGACUGACAGCCCUAUCCUUUCCAUUAAUUUUAGAUUAGAUGAAAUAUGACAGAAGACCACUUAUAACUCUAAAUUGGCACAUGUGUCUCUAUGUGUGUGUAUGUGUACUAGGGGUCACAUGUGCCUCUGUGUGCACAUGGAAGUCAGAGGACAGUUGGUGGUAGUCAGUUCUCCUCUUCCACUACAUGGGUCUCUGGCAUUGAACCCAGGUGGCCACGCUUUGUGGCAAGUGUCUUUACAUGCUAAGCUGUCUUACAGGCCCCAAGCAGACUCUUCUUAAGUCACAUAAAAGGAAGGAAAACUGAUGAAAGUCCCCAAGUGUAGCUCCAUUCUGUUGUACAGCCUCCUACAAGGCAACAGCUAAUCUUUUCCAAAAGUUCCACCAAAUAGGAACUGGGUAUGCAGAUGGCCUUGGGAUCCAUUCUCAUUCAAACUGCCGCAGUAGCCAAGGGACAUGGCAAUUGGGGGCUGUUGUUUUGGAGAUCCCUGUGGCUUAUUAGGACCCUAAUGAGUAAUUUGAAGGGAAGUCUCCAGUACAUCAUACUGUGAUUUUCAUUUAAUAACCCAGCCCUUCUGGGACCAAUCUUGUGCACCUAGUGCAUUUCCUGGCUUUUACUUCUACUCCAACUUAAAGGCACAAAAGGAAAGAUUGGAAGCCAGGAUCUGCCUCUGAGGAAGAAUGCUUGGUAUUUGUCUCUCUAGGCUUCAGUUAUGGGUGGAUUUAAUGUCUUGAUCAUUAUUAAUGAUACUGCAGGAAAUGUGGGAGAGCAGAUAGCUCUUUGGCACAUUUAUGUCAUUGUUUCUUUGAUAACAUACUUAGUGUUGGACUAUUGAAUCAUAGGAAAUUAAUAUGCUUAAAUGUUUAAAGAAUAGUUUAUAGUUGUGUCUUUUUUUUUACAUUGACUGUGUUAAUUUAAUCACAACUAACAAUGUAUAUAAAUUACCUUGCACAACUUCAUAAAUAUUUCAUUUGGUUCAUCUUUAUAAAAGCCACUUUAACAGGUGGAACAUGGCAUCUCAUGUUCUUUGGAUUUGCUGUCUCUGAUGACAGUUGUGUGCAGUGUCUACAUCAGCUGAGUGUUGGCAUCUCUGCUUUUUAAGACAUGUCUAGUCCUGUUUGAAUCUCUGUGUUUGUUUUCUUAAUAUUGAGUUAACUUCCUUACACAUUUUUGAUAUUUACCUUUUAUCUGGUAUGUUUUAUAAAUAUUUUCACCUAUCUCAUUGUUUUUUUCCCCAAGAGUAUCUUGUUUUAGCUGUACUUGACAGAGGAUAAUUCUUUCCAUACUGAACUAUCUCUAUAUUAAAGGAUGGAGUCUUUGCACAUACAUAGAAUUAUAUCGGUAUAGAUUUUGUAUUCUGCUGCUUGUUUUGUUUUCUCUAAAUACAAGCUAGCUUAAUUUAGUUGGAAAUGUCGCUCAUGUGUUCUGUAUCCUUGGUGAAAUGUUGUCUACAUUUUCUAGCAAUUGCUGAGGACAUGUUUAGUCCCCAAGUGUAUUUAUGGGUAUUCUUACUCCUUUUGGCUCUAUGCAUGAGUAUUGUGGAGAUCUGUCCUUAGAUACAUUUACAUUUAUGCAUAUUGUAUUAUUUUUAGGGAAUUUGACCUUUCAAAAUUAAACAAUGUUCCCCUAUCAAUUUUCCGAGAUUUACUUUGUUUAGUAUUAAUGUAGCUGUUUUCUUUUGUUGAAGUUCUGCGUGUAUCUUUUAUUGGUCAUUUUAUUUUUUUAACUCACAUAUGCCUUUAACAUCAGUGGAUUUUUGUUUACAGUAUGUAGUUUGUCUGGUAUUAUAAUCCAAUAUAAUGAUGUUUAGGUUUUAACUGAUAUACAAAGUUUAAAUCUAUUGUAAUCAUUACUAUUGAAUUUCAACCUACUAUAUUAUGGCUGUUUUAUUUAUUGAUCUCCUUGAUUUUUUUCCUCCUUUGCAUUUAAUUUUGAGUUCUGCAUUUAACUUUUUAUUGAUGUGUACUUUAAAUAAUUUAUUUUAGUCAUCGACCUUGGUUUUAUAUAUAUAUAUAUAUAUAUAUAUAUAUAUAUAUAUGUGUGUGUGUGUGUGUGUGUGUGUGUGUGUGUGUGUGUGUGUCUUUAGGGUCUACCUUUAAAUCAUACCAUAACACCUAACAAAUAAUAUGAAUAACUUUGUUUUUACAUUCACUAACUUCACCUCGAGAAUUCCCAGUGUCUUGGUGUACAUAUUUAUGGUCUCCUAAGACUUUCCUUAACUCAAAACAACUGUGAUGCAGCAGACCUGACUUCUGUCUGUCAAAAUCUGCUGUACUCAUGUACUCAGGACAUAUUUGCUUUAAUUCCCUUUGCUCAUAUAGAGUUACAGGACCAUGAGCUGAAUGCAUCAUCAGAAGUCCUUAUGCUUGGUCAUCAGGGUCUAAAAGGCCUAAUUCAGACCCAUCUUACUUUCAGGCCUUUCAGAAAGUUCUUUCUCAAAGUUAAAACUUAAACCAGGUUGGCUUGUAGUUCCCUUCCUGUCUGUCUACCUUCUCUCUUGCUUUAAGUGUGGCAUGGGGGCAUUCAGACCAUGCUGUCCUUCUUUGUGAAGAACUCUCCUCUAUCACUGAACACACAUGGAAAUAACCAUGGAAUACCUAUCACUCUCCUCAACAGAUCACAGAAGGGUGGGAUAGAGGCAAUUCCCAGCUCCCUUACCAACUUGAAGUGCAGACUAUUUAACCACAAAGGAGAAUGCUGAACUCAAAACCCUGUCCCUGAGUCACUCUGCUGUAUUUCAUUCCAAGCACAUACUCUUAGGAAUCCUGGGAUUCCAGUGUACGGCUGUUCUUGAAAAAGGCUAUUUUCCUGAGAACUUGAUUUUCUUAAGAGCCCAUCAAAUACAACGGCCUUGGGUGUGCUAUUUGCAACAGGAAGAAAAGCCAGGAAUUUUCUGAGAAAUUUC
rnacentral:lncRNA from 1 species